GAUCUCUUGUGGACCGUCACUUGGUGUGAUAAUUAUCUAUGCCAUCUGACUUUGAAGCAAAUUUUAUGGGAACCUGCUUAUAACCGUCUCUCGCAGCAAUGCGGAUUGGGGGUCUGAGUCCUUGAUUGGGCACUUCCCUCGUCGGACAACUCUCUUAACAUUUUGACCUCAAAUCAGGUAGGACUACCCGCUGAACUUAA
rnacentral:misc_RNA from 1 species